AAUUCGAUUAAGGCGGUUCUCUGGGCAUUACCUGACGCUGAGGAGCGAAAGUGUGGGGAGCGAACAGGAUUAGAUACCCUGGUAGUCCACACCGUAAACGUUGGGCGCUAGGUGUGGGGUCCAUUCCACGGAUUCCGUGCCGCAGCUAACGCAUUAAGCGCCCCGCCU
rnacentral:rRNA from 1 species